rnacentral:rRNA from 1 species
UUAGCUAGUUGGUGAGGUAACGGCCCACCAAGGCAACGAUGGGUAGCCGGCCUGAGAGGGUGUCCGGCCACACUGGCACUGAGACAAGGGCCAGUCCCCUAUGGGAGGCGCAGGCGGGAAUAGUUCCCAAUGGACGAAAGUCUGAGGACGCGACGCCGCGUGAGCGAAGAAGGCCUUCGGGUUGUAAAGCUCUGUCAGGAGGGAAGAAGGCGCUGGGUGUUAAUAGCACCAAGCGUUGACGGUACUUCCAGAGGAAGCCCCGGCUAAAUACGUGCCAGCAGCCGCGGUAAUACGUAUGGGGCAAGCGUUGUCCGGAUUAACUGGGCGUAAAGGGCACGCAGGCGGGUCGUUUAGUCGAAGGUGAAAUCCCUGGGCUCAACCUCAGGAACUGCCUUCGAUACUGGCGAACUAGAGUGGCGUUAGAGGAAACGCCGGGACUCCUGGUGUAACCGGUGGAAAGUGUAGAUAUCAGGGGUACACCGUGCAGAAAGCGGCUUUUCUGGAACGCAACACUUGACGCUAAGGUGCCGAAUAGCCGUUGGGUUAACCAAACAAGGAUUUAGAAUACCCCCUGUUUAGUCCACGCCCGUAUACGAUGGAAUAUUAGCUCUCGGGGGUUAUCGAUCCCCUCGCUGCCGUCUUCAACGCAUUAAGUCCCCCGCCUGGGGAGUUAUUGCUCACACGGCUGACUACUCAGAGGUAUUGGCGUGGUCCCAGACACAAGCGGUGGAGCAUGUGGUAUUAUUCCGACGCAACGCGAAGAUCCUUACCUGGGCUUAACAUGCUUGGGACAGCUGCUGGAAACAGCGUCUCUCCUGCGGGACCCCUUACACAGGUGCUAUAUGGCUGUCGUACAGCUCGUGUCGUGAGAUGUCGGUUUAAGUCCCUCAACGAGCGCAACCCUCGUUACUAGUUGCCAUCAGUUCGGCUGGGCACUCUAGUGAGACUCCCGGUGACAAACCGGAGGAAGAUGAGGAUGAUGUCAA